rnacentral:misc_RNA from 1 species
AUUUUUACAUCCAAACAUCUCUGGUGCUUCUUUCAUACAAGGUUCAUUUGAUUUAGUAAAAAACACAAGAUAGAUUGAACCUAUACGACUCAAACGGCCAAAUCAACCAUAGCGUAUUUCAUCAUGCGAACAAGAUAUAUCCCCUCUCAUUCACACCAAUUUCAGUGAAGUAGGAAGUUAUCACAUAGUUAUAAUAGGCGUCGAUUUGCCUCGGCCCAUGGAGAAUCCCUUAGUACCAUCUGGCAUACGAGGUACAGAAGAUUGCUUGGCUGCUGCUGACUGCUCAAGAACAGGCUUCCCUACACCAACACGGAUGAUAUUUGAGAGGGAAUUUCGCACAUUACUUCCACGAUUCACGUUUGAUAAGGGAGCUCCUAAAUGACCUCCACGAUUGUUUUGAUGAGACUGCGGACGUCCACGUCUCUGACCCUGUCCCUUACCCCGACCCCGACCCUGACCACGCCCACGCCUCUGCCCAUCACUGCCAUGCUCCUCUGCAAGCUCAUUGGAUUUAGCAUCAAUAUGGUGGCGUGACUCUUCAUUAAGCUUCUCGUUGACCUCUAAUGCAGAACCAUCAUCCCCCUUGAAGUUUUCACUAUCAUGACCAGCUUUUUUCCCUUGAGCUUGACCAGAUUUUUCUGAGCUUCUAAGAAGUAAUCGGACUUCCAGAGCAUUUCUCCAGUUAUCAUCAUUUAACUCUACAGCCGCCCUCUCAGCCAAUUCGGCGGUUUCGUAUUCCACAAAUGCGUGUAACUUGUUGCUGUGAAGAGUACUAUCUGACUUUGCUGUUCUAGAUCCUGAAGAUGCCCCACCAUUGGAAGACUGAGGUAAGCAGGUGCGUAUCAUUUUAACGCUUCCAACUGCUGAGAAAAUCUUCAUGAGAUUCUGAUGGCAAUGAUCCUCAGGCAAAUUUUCAGCAAUCACAAUUCGAGAUUGCAGUUCUUUUAAGUCGGUUUCGGCCAAAGGAAUUUUGCGUUUAACCUUCAUUCCAUCCUCACUAACAACCAGCUUUGUAGAGCUCCGCAGAACUUGAGCAAGCUGUGCAUGAUUACGUAUAAGAGCUUUAAUCUUCUUGAACAACGCAACUACAGAUAUUGGUACAUAACCUUCCUGAUCCUUGAGCAUAUGCUUUAUUAAAUGAUCA